CUCUAACCUUUAACAUCUGAUAUUUUUAUUAUCUAGAGCUCUGUAAAAAAAUAUACAAAAAAAAAUAUAAAAAAUGAAAAUACCAAAAAAUAAUAUGAUAACAAAACUGUUUGUAAACAGAGUUCUAGAUAAUAAACAUUGAGGAUGUUGUAAAAAGUAGGCAUAUUUAAAAUUUUGUUUAUUAUUAUGAAUAGUGCACUGUAUAAUUUAUAAAAAUGUGUAUUGUGAAGUCUUGGAAAAUUGUGAAACUUUAGAACUGUGUUUAUUUGAGAAGUCUAUAUUCAGUCUUCAAUGAUUGUCAUGGCAAUUGAGGACAAUAAAAUAUAGCUCUGUGUAGAAACUGACUUUUUUAUAUCAAGAAAGAUCCAACAAAAGUUUUCAAUGAUAUCUAAAGAGACAAAAGGCAGAAAUACUAAAAGGUUUUCUAUGAGAUUGGUGGAUUAUGUACAGUCAGACAACUGGCACACUCAAGCUAAAAGUUAAAUAGCUAUUAAAAUAAAAUUAUGGACUUGUAUAAUAACAUUAAUGAAGACAGAUGUUCUAAAGUGAAGACAUGUUCCUUCAUAAUGUUCUAUAGUGAAGACAUGUUCAUACAUAAUGUUCUAUAGUGAAGACAUGUUCCUACAUAAUGUUCUAAAGUGAAGACAUGUUCCUUCAUAAUGUUCUAUAGUGAAGACAUGUUCCUACAUAAUGUUCUAAAGUGAAGACAUGUUCCUUCAUAAUGUUCUAUAGUGAAGACAUGUUCAUACAUAAUGUUCUAUAGUGAAGACAUGUUCAUACAUAAUGUUCUAUAGUGAAGACAUAUUCCUACAUAUUGUUCUAUAGUGAAGACAUGUUCCUACAUAAUGUCUUAUAGUGAAGACGUAUUCCUACAUAUUGUUCUAUAGUGAAGACAUGUUCCUACAUAAUGUCUUAUAGUGCAGACAUGUUCCUACAUAAUGUUCUAUAGUGAAGACAGAUGUUCUAUAGCACAAACAGAUGUUCCUAAGUUGCAAUGAAGUGUUCAGAAGACAGACAGAGUUUCCUUUUGCAAUGAAAUUAUCCAGAACACAUAGUUGAUUAGAUUUCCAGUUCAUUACAUAUUCUGACAUUUUCUCAAGAAAAACACAAGAUUUCAAUGUUCAACCUGAAAGGAGAAAUUCUUAAAAUUUAUGCUGGACAUCUCAUAUCAAGGAUCCAUCACAAUAUUGAUAUUAGACUUGUGAAGAAUAUUCUGAUAAAUUAAUGAUGUACGACAAAUCGUGCUACAAGUAUCAUACCAGCAGAAUUAUUUGAUGGGAGUAAAACAUAGGAGCAGGAUCUCACCUCAUACAAGUGAGGAGGAACAGUUGAACUGAUGAACUUUGAACUGAUGAACUUGGAAACAUCUGAAAGGUAAUAAUACAUAAGAAAAACAGACCACCUAGAAUAAGAAAAGAGAAAGAGUUAACUCAUAGAGUAAAGGGUAAAAACAGACCACAUAGAAUAAGGAAAGAGAAAGAUUAACUCAUAGAGUAAAGGGUAGACGAAACUAUCAACACUUUGAAAUUAACAAGAGCAAUAAUCAACAUAACAGCUGCUUCAUCACCAUCUCAGAGGUUAGGUCUCUAACUGACUCAACUGAUGAACUUAUAACAAGCUUAACAGAUCAUCAGCAUAGUUGAACAAUGAACACUUCAGAGACAAAAUAUUCUUGGCAAUGAAAAUAUAUGACUGAAAUUUCAUAAUUGUAUAUGGUCAGUGGGAGAGAGAGAAAGAUGUAGAAUGGUCAGAGUGGGAGAGGGAGAACACUUAUGAUGAUGAGUGGGGAGAAAUAAAGAACAAUUAUUGCAACUGAUAAAUUUGUCUUCAACCAAACUCAUGGCUUGUGUUGAUGUGUCUAACCUUAGACAUCUGAUAUUUUUAUUAUCUAGAGCUCUGUUUAAAAAAAAAAUGUAAAAAAUAAUAUGAAAACAAAUUUUAAACAGUUCUAGAUAAUAAACAUUAAGGGUGGUGUAAAAAGUGGGCAUAUUUUAAAUUUUCUUUUUUACACCAAUGUAUUUAUGAAAUUUAAAACUUUAAAGUCAGAAUGUUUAAUUGGACGUACAAUUGUUUUGAUUUUAGAUAUUUGGAGACAAAACCUAUUCUUCUCCAUUUAUUACACUCUAAAAGUGUCAUUAAUUUGCAAUAUUCUUAUUUUGAUUGUCUUUGCUUAUACCUCUAACCUUAGACAUCCAAUAUUUUUAUUAUCUAGAGCUCUGUAAAAAAAAUGACAAAAUUGUAAAUAGAGUUCUAGAUAAUAAACAUUAAGGGUGGUGUAAAAAGUGGUUAUAUUUUUUAUAUUUUGAAUUCUCUCCCUCCCUAAUAUAUUUACGAAAUUAAAUACAAGAGAUAUUUAUUGGUAAAUGAUUUGUGUUGGAUAAGUUUUAUCCUUUCAUUAGUGUAUUUUAAAAAAUGUUUU